AGUUUUGAUAAGAUAAUUUUCUUAGGGUGAUGUGAAUUUUUAAGUCGAUUUAGAGUAUUUUUUCGUAUACCUGGGAACGAUGAAUGAAAAAAAAUUUUAUCGUGAUUUUUUUUUGCCCGAAAUUUUGAACGAUUGGGGUUUUUAGAUGAAAGUAUUAUAGUUUGGUGAAAUUCGAUUCGAAUUGGAAAAUGAAUCGGGUUUUCGUUGAUGGAAAUUGAUUCAUCGUGCUGACGUAAUAUUUCUCGAGUUGGCAGGCUUUCAUCGAAGCUACGUAUUGUUUUUUAUGUUGUGUGAUCUUGAUUACAGACAGUGUCAAGGAGUAGAAUGAAUUUCGAAAUGUAAUUCGUUGUGUUUUAUCAAACGAUUCGUGUUCGAUUUUGAUUUCGACACGUUCGAGUAUAUGAAUUUUGAAAUUGUGAUGAUUAGUUGUGACGUCAGAGUGUUGAAAAUCAGUCAGCUCCGAGACCCUCUCAGUUCCGUUUUCGUACUGCUCAACUCCUCAAGUUCGCGGAUAUAUUCAAAGCCACUUUUAAAUGAUUUCCCUAAAUUAUCGUAUCAGACGUAUUUACUUUGUACUCUUGACUUGGAUUUGGCGAGAUGAAAUUUAUAUUGGUUCGAAGCCAGAAAUUGCGCAGAAUACUUGACCUCGUUUUAACGUUAGAGUUAAAUUUUUACACUGCACAAUAUUUUUUUUUACGAAUUGAAAAUAGUAUUUGAAAAAUGAUUUAAAAUUCGUAUUUUGGUAUUGU